UACGGAGGAUCCGAGCGUUGUCCGGAUUUACUGGGUUUAAAGGGUGCGCAGGUGGAUCAGUAAGUCAGUGGUGAAAGCCGCCCGCUUAACGGGCGAAUUGCCAUUGAUACUAUUGGUCUUGAGUGCGGUUGAAGUGGGCGGAAUGUAUCGUGUAGCGGUGAAAUGCUUAGAUAUGAUACAGAACACCAAUUGCGAAGGCAGCUCACUAAGCCGUUACUGACACUCAUGCACGAAAGCGUGGGGAUCGAACAGU
rnacentral:rRNA from 1 species